CUUACUAAACAUAUUAAGGAUCAAAGAUCAGUGCAUUGCAAACCCCCGAAGAAUCACGGGAUUCUAAUAUGUUCUAUAUCCCAGAAUGCUUUGCAGACCUUCUUUCUCUUUGAAAUAUUCAAAAUGGUGAGUCAGACACGUGAACAAAAUUUGCCGUAAUUUUUUGCUCUUUUAAACUCCAAAUACGUACAAAUAAGCAGGUUUAAGUUAUCCCUACAUAUUCUAUAUGUUUUAUUCGUAGGUUUACAAUCGUUUUGUUGAGGUCGGACGCGUUGCGUUGAUAAAUUCGGGCCCUGAAGAAGGGCGACUGUGUGUUAUCAUGGAUGUUGUCGACCAAAAUCGGGUU